rnacentral:rRNA from 1 species
UACAGAGGUCUCAAGCGUUGUUCGGAUUCAUUGGGCGUAAAGGGUGCGUAGGUGGCGCCGUAAGUCAGGUGUGAAAUUUCGGAGCUUAACUCCGAAACUGCAUUUGAUACUGCGGUGCUUGAGGACUGGAGAGGGGACUGGAAUUUACGGUGUAGCAGUGAAAUGCGUAGAGAUCGUAAGGAAGACCAGUGGCGAAGGCGGGUCUCUGGACAGUUCCUGACACUGAGGCACGAAGGCCAGGGGAGCAAACGGG